AUUAUAUAAAUAUAUAUACAUGUUUACAUGAUGCAUACAUAUUUAUUUUAUAUAUGUGUGUGAGUGUGUGUGUGCGUGCGUGCGCGUGCGUGCGCGUAUUGAUCAGUGUUAUAUACUGUUGGAAAUACAGCUCUAAAAGGGAAAAAAAAAUUCAGUUAUACUAUAUCGCAUUGAUUUGGUCAAGUAUUACAUAUUUGAUGUCAGAUGCCGUUACAAGAGUGAUGUCUGCAAUGUUCUUAAAGAACAGAACAAUCAGGGCUGUGGAGUCAUGGAGUUGAAGUUGUGACAUUGUUAGUGGAGUCAGAGUUGCUAAACAAACUCGCGACUCCGGCUCCAAUAGUUCUCCGGCUCCAAAACUUCUCGGUAUUGCAUGUUCAUGUACAAAAUAUUUAACUGUUAAAUUUUUUUUUGAAUAGUCGUGUAAUAUUUUUUAAAGAAUUCAAAGAAAUGUUUAUUCAAUUUUUAUUCAAAAUUCAAAAAAAUUUUGCUUUGGAGUCGGAGUCGUUCUCUAAAAAUUUCAGCGAAUAAAAGUUGGUACUUUUUCUUCCCAACUUCACAUGCCUGAGAGCAAUAAUAAAUUUGUAAUAAAACUUAUCUAAUUCUCUUCGACAGUUUGAUUCUCCAUCAGUAGGUUCACCAGGAAGCUUCCUGAUAAACUUACUGGCGUUAGACAAAAACGUUAUAAUUUUCUUGAACUUUACUUGUUUACAUCUUUUUUUAAGUUAAACAUGAAACUUGAGAUUUUUUGCAUUAUUCAGUUUAAAUUUAACUUUUCCAACCAUUUAUAAAAAGUACAAUUUACUACUUUAUAUACUAUUUAUAUGGCUUCACUUAUUUAUUUUACUUUUCAGAGUUUCAGAGAAAAGUUAUGUUCCAACUUGCUGAAAUUAAAAACAUUUUAGUAAAUAAAACUGCACAGUUCUCUAAUGAUCCAGAAGGUUAUAAACAACUUAAAAGUUCAGAUGAACUUAAUGUUUUGAAAAGAAAAAUUGCAAAUGGAGAUAUCCAAUACAUCACUUUUGUAAAACAGUUAUCAUUAAUUGGAGGUAAAAAUUCAGUUGAUACAAUUACAAAUAUUUUGCUCUUACUGACAACAGACACUUUUUUCAGAAUGCAGCUAGAAUGGUCUAAAGAAGAAAAAAAAGUUUAAAAAGUUGACAAGUCUAUGUAUCGCUAUCACUGGUGCUGCCUCAAAGUCAAAUAAAAGCUUAACCAAAAUGGAUCUCAUGCAACUUAUUGGAAGAUUAAUUAGGCAUUCUUCUGACCGAUUCUAGAGAAAAUCCACCAUUAUCGAUAUCGAUCAACGAUGGCUUAAUUAACUUCAAUCAACUGUUGUGUUUUUUAUUUAUUUUUCAUUUUUCAGUAAUUUUCUUUUUACUUAUAAUAUACUAUCGAUUAUACUUUACAAAAUAUAUUAGUUUUUAAUUUGGAA